AUUGAACGCUGGCGGCAGGCUUAACACAUGCAAGUCGAGCGGAGAUGAGGUGCUUGCACCUUAUCUUAGCGGCGGACGGGUGAGUAUGCUUAGGAAUCUGCCUAUUAGUGGGGGACAACAUUCCGAAAGGAACGCUAAUACCGCAUACGUCCUACGGGAGAAAGCAGGGGAUCUUCGGACCUUGCGCUAAUAGAGGAGCCUAAGUCGGAUUAGCUAGUUGGUGGGGUAAAGGCCUACCAAGGCGACGAUCUGUAGCGGGUCUGAGAGGAUGAUCCGCCACACUGGGACUGAGACACGGCCCAGACUCCUACGGGAGGCAGCAGUGGGGAAUAUUGGACAAUGGGGGAAACCCUGAUCCAGCCAUGCCGCGUGUGUGAAGAAGGCCUUAUGGUUGUAAAGCACUUUAAGCGAGGAGGAGGCUACUGAGACUAAUACUCUUGGAUAGUGGACGUUACUCGCAGAAUAAGCACCGGCUAACUCUGUGCCAGCAGCCGCCGUAA
rnacentral:rRNA from 1 species